rnacentral:rRNA from 1 species
ACACAUGCAAGUCGAACGAGAAUCUACUGAAGGAGGAUUCGUCCAACGGAAGUAGAGGAAAGUGGCGGACGGGUGAGUAACGCGUGAGGAACCUGCCUUGAAGAGGGGGACAACAGUUGGAAACGACUGCUAAUACCGCAUGAAGCAUAGGGGUCGCAUGAUUCUUAUGCCAAAGAUUUAUCGCUUCAAGAUGGCCUCGCGUCUGAUUAGCUGGUUGGCGGGGUAACGGCCCACCAAGGCGACGAUCAGUAGCCGGACUGAGAGGUUGAACGGCCACAUUGGGACUGAGAUACGGCCCAGACUCCUACGGGAGGCAGCAGUGGGGAAUAUUGGGCAAUGGGCGCAAGCCUGACCCAGCAACGCCGCGUGAAGGAAGAAGGCUUUCGGGUUGUAAACUUCUUUUAAGAGGGAAGAGCAGAAGACGGUACCUCUAGAAUAAGCCACGGCUAACUACGUGCCAGCAGCCGCGGUAAUACGUAGGUGGCAAGCGUUGUCCGGAUUUACUGGGUGUAAAGGGCGUGCAGCCGGGUCUGCAAGUCAGAUGUGAAAUCCAUGGGCUCAACCCAUGAACUGCAUUUGAAACUGUAGAUCUUGAGUGUCGGAGGG